AGUCAUAUGCUUGUCUCAAAGAUUAAGCCAUGCAUGUCUAAGUAUAAACUGCUUUAUACUGUGAAACUGCGAAUGGCUCAUUAAAUCAGUUAUAGUUUAUUUGAUGGUACCUUACUACUCGGAUAACCGUAGUAAUUCUAGAGCUAAUACGUGCGUAAAUCCCGACUUCUGGAAGGGACGUAUUUAUUAGAUAAAAGGCCGACCGGGCUUGCCCGACUCGCGGUGAAUCAUGAUAACUUCUCGGAUCGCAUGGCCUCGUGCUGGCGAUACUUCAUUCAAAUAUCUGCCCUAUCAACUGUCGAUGGUAGGAUAGAGGCCUACCAUGGUUGCAACGGGUAAC
rnacentral:rRNA from 1 species